UAACACGUGGAUAACCUACCUAUAAGACUGGGAUAACUUCGGGAAACCGGAGCUAAUACCGGAUAAUAUUUUGAACCGCAUGGUUCAAAAGUGAAAGACGGUCUUGCUGUCACUUAUAGAUGGAUCUGCGCUGCAUUAGCUAGUUGGUAAGGUAACGGCUUACCAAGGCAACGAUGCAUAGCCGACCUGAGAGGGUGAUCGGCCACACUGGAACUGAGACACGGUCCAG
rnacentral:rRNA from 1 species